rnacentral:tRNA from 1 species
AGUGGUUCAUUGAUAGAAUGCUCACCUGCCAAGUAAACUGCUUGGGUUCAAUUCCCAACU